rnacentral:rRNA from 1 species
UACGUAGGGGGCAAGCGUUGUCCGGAUUUAUUGGGCGUAAAGAGCGUGUAGGCGGCUUGGUAGGUCCGCUGUGAAAACUCGAGGCUCAACCUCGAGAUGUCGGCGGAAACCACUUGGCUAGAGUCCGGAAGAGGAGAGUGGAAUUCCUGGUGUAGCGGUGAAAUGCGUAGAUAUCAGGAGGAACACCGGUGGCGAAGGCGCACAUCUGGCCCAAUACUGACGCUAAAGCGCGAAAGCUAGGGGAGCAAACGGG